rnacentral:misc_RNA from 1 species
AGACAGGUAUGAGCUGAUUGAAAAUAAACAAUAUUGCUUGUACCAGAAACUGUACAUUUUGUAGUUUUAAGGUUUAUACAUAGAGUUGAGGAAGCCGAGGUUCAGAUGUGGAAUACGCCUGAUGCCCCUGCAAGACGAGAUAAAAUGACUAUACAAGUGUUUAAGGGUGUAAAAACAAAAAUGAUCAUAUGUUUGAAAUAGUCUAAACGUGACAAUGACUGUACAAAUGUCGGUAUGUGGAGAGCUGUUAAUGUUAGGUGAGGCGAGGCCAGAGUUUUCCUUUCAUGUAUCGGUAUUUGACUACUUUUUUCCCCUUCCCUUGAAAAAGUACAUUUUUCUUAUAUUCUCAUGGUCAAAUGUCUUUAUAUAUGCAUAUAU